rnacentral:rRNA from 1 species
GCGGUUAGACGGAAAGACCCCGUGCACCUUUACUAUAGCUUCACACUGGUAUUCGCCAAGACAUGUGUAGGAUAGGUGGUAGACUUUGAAGCGUGGGCGCCAGCUCGCGUGGAGUCAUCCUUGAAAUACCACCCUUAUCUUCGUGGAUAUCUAACCGCGGUCCGUUAUCCGGAAAAGGAA